CUUCAGGUGACUAUGAUACAUCAAUGUAGGUCCAUCAGUUGUAACAAAGCGGGCAGGACAAGAAGAAAAGAUCUCAGGGGCUGUCUGUGCAUGAAUGGCCAAGGAGGAACCCCAUCUGCUACAGAUCCUGUCCACAUGAAUUUCCCUGAUGUUUGCUGCUGCAGCAGGCCUGAACUGCACGCUGCUGGACAAUGUGCAAGAUACCAUAGGCUGAAGAUGCAUUUGGGUUCCUAACCAUUGCCACUGCAGGUUGGCUAAUUCUAUUCCAGCAGCUAACCCGUAAUCACUACAUGACAAGGGAAGCUGAGGCCCAGAGGACUGAGACAACUUGUGCGUAAUCACCUUUUUCAGAUUCACAAUCAUGAAAGUAUCAUGAAGAAUUUCAAAGGUUCACUCUCCACCCUUUUCCACCUGCUCUGUGUCCAGAGAGGCUGACCUGUGUGGACUGACAAAGAGGCCCUUGUCCUCUGGCUUACAACUGGGCCCGGACAAUGAGGCGCGACAGCAGGAGACAGAAGCGAGCACCAGUAGAGGGUCUGGCUAUUCAUUCCUCUAUUCUUUCUCUAACAGGGGAUUCCUUGGGCAUGCCUCAGGCCUUGCUGAAGGUCUCAGCUCACAUAAGGCUGUCCUUUCCACAUGGGCUUCUCUGUCUCCAAUGCCCCCCACCCCACCUUCCCAUAACCCUCCUUUCCAACUCCCCAGUUUUGCUCCUUCAGGUUUAUGGGUAAGGAGUUCUCCUGUUGCAGUCUGGGGCACUGCCCUAAAUUUUGUAGUUUCCUUCCACUUUUCCCAUGCUUUUGUAAACAGCCUUUUUAUCAAACUCCCCAAAUAUCCUAAUUUGAUGGUAUUGUCUCUUUCCUACUGGGACACUUUCCAAUACCUUUUUGGAAUAAG
rnacentral:lncRNA from 1 species